UGCGUAGGCGGGUCUUUAAGUCAGGGUGAAAUCCUGGAGCUCAACUCCAGAACUGCCUUUGAUACUGAGGAUCUUGAGUUCGGGAGAGGUGAGUGGAACUGCGAGUGUAGAGGUGAAAUUCGUAGAUAUUCGCAAGAACACCAGUGGCGAAGGCGGCUCACUGGCCCGACUACUGACGCUGAUGCACGAAAGCGUGGGGAGCAAACA
rnacentral:rRNA from 1 species